rnacentral:lncRNA from 1 species
CUUGCUCCAUCUCGACUACUAGAUCUACGACUUCUUCUACUUUCAGUUGUUUUUGGCAUCCCAGUCUGUACAGGUGCACUCAUUUUUAUAUGCUGAGACGAAACGGUUUUUCCUGACCUGUAAUUUGAAGCUUUAUGAUCAUCAUGAAAAGGGAUGACUGUGUUGCCUUCCUGCGCGCUGCCUGAGUCGGUGGGUGUGGGUGAUACACCAGUUUCAAAACUACGGCUUCUUUUGCUUUCAGUAGUUUUUGACAUCCCAGUUUGUAUAGGUGCAGUCAUUUUCAUAUGCUGAGACGAAACAGUUUUUCCUGACCUGUGAUUUGAAGCUUUAUGAUCAUCAAAAGGGAUGACUGUUUUGCCUGCCUGCGUGCUGCCUGAGUCGUCGGUGGGUGUGGGUGACAAACCAGUUUCAGAUCUACGGCUUCUUCUGCUUUCAGUUGUUUUUGGCAUCCCAGUUUGUACAGGUUCACUCGUUUUUAUAUGCUGAGACGAAACGGUUUCCCCUGACAUGUAAUUUGAAGCUUUAUGAUCAUCAAAAGGGAUGACUGCAGCCUGCGUGCUGCCUGAGUCGGUGGGUGUGGGUGAUACACCGGUUUCAGAACUACAGCUCCUGCUUUCAGUUGUUUUUGGCAUCCCAGUUUGUACAGGUUCACUCGUUUUUAGAUGCUGAGACGAAACGGUUUUUCCUGACCUGUAAUUUGAACCUUUAUGAUCAUCAA